rnacentral:rRNA from 1 species
UAGGGAAUCUUCCGCAAUGGACGAAAGUCUGACGGACCAACGCCGCGUGAGUGAUGAAGGUUUUCGGAUCGUAAAACUCUGUUGUUAGGGAAGAACAAGUUGGGUAGUAACUGACCCAACCUUGACGGUACCUAACCAGAAAGCCACGGCUAACUACGUGCCAGCAGCCGCGGUAAUACGUAGGUGGCAAGCGUUGUCCGGAAUUAUUGGGCGUAAAGCGCUCGCAGGCGGUCUUUUAAGUCUGAUGUGAAAGCCCACGGCUUAACCGUGGAGGGUCAUUGGAAACUGGAGGACUUGAGUACAGAAGAGGAGAGUGGAAUUCCACGUGUAGCGGUGAAAUGCGUAGAGAUGUGGAGGAACACCAGUGGCGAAGGCGACUCUCUGGUCUGUAACUGACGCUGAGGAGCGAAAGCGUGGGUAGCGAACAGG